GCGGGCGUAGCUCAAUGGCAGGGCUGCAGCUUCCCAAGCUACUGUCGAGGGUCCGAUUCCCUUAGGCCGCU
rnacentral:tRNA from 1 species